AGAAACUCCAUUGCAAAAUGCUCUCUAUGUAGCUCAAUAUAGUCUGGCUAAGCACAGCAUAUUCCCCUAUGUAACUUCACUCCUGAGGGAUGGAGAUCAGUGUCUUUGGAUUCUUUUGAAAGAGAUGCUGUGCUUAGUCUAAACUUAGGACCAUCUAGAGAAGCAGAGACUGGAGGAAAAUCGACAGUCCCAGAGGAAGGACAGGGAGUUGGCCAUCCAGAAAAAGAACAUAGCAGGAAAGCUGCAGCAUUACUUGGCCGGAUCCCUGAUGAGAUCAGAAAGGCUUCACCAUGAAUUGGAGCAACCUUCAGGGUAUGGUGAGAGCAAGCUGUAGACAGAGAUGCUGCAGAAGGGGCAGUAAAUGUCUCAGCACCCUGUCAGGUUAUUGAGGAAGUUGAAGGAAGCCACAGACAAAGGCAGUACAUUCUCCACCGUAGAAUCAACACAUCCAUCGUUGGUGAUUGCUUGACCUCCAAUGUCACAAAGUGGCCAGGCUCUACUUGUCAUGAAAAGCUAUUAUAAUUGGUGGCUGCCUUGCUAUUAUGUGUGCAAAGCCGGCCUAAGCCUGUAGUCAGUGCAAUUAAGUUUCCUUGUUAAAAAGAGUGCUUAACUUAACUUUCUUGUUUGCUUCAUUGUUUUGAAGUUUGUUGACUUUGAGA
rnacentral:lncRNA from 1 species